AGUGCCCACAGCAGGUGUGCCAUAAGCGACGGACCAGGGCCUCCUCCUCAGCAUCGCCACCGCAGCUCUAGAGCUUCUCCCAGCUUCUCUGCACCACCUGCCCGGGAUGAAGCCCUUGGCCUGUGGUCAGGUCCAGGCUUAGGCGGAAGCAGCACCCUGUGAGGAGUCAUACGCAGACCCCUGCACUUGCUGGCCCUGUACGCCACUUGCUGCUCUGCCGACUUGCAAUGCUGAUUCCCAGGUUACUCGUCGGGGCUGUCCCACCGGGUUACCGGCAAUAAGGGCGAGCACCUUUGCCCCCUCGUCCGUUCUGCCUGUGGAACCAGCCCACACAGCGUUUCUCCUUCUCCUGGGCAGCCCGCGGCCCACGCCCCGGCCUUCCCAGCUUCUCUGUGAGCUGACGCGACGUGUGUCCCUGGCAGCCUCUCACUGUGCUCCAGUUCUGACUGCAGCGAGUGGACUUCUGUCAGCAGGCAGAGUAUCUUCGCCUGAUAUACAAGACCAGGAACAAGAAAGGCUGACCCUUACGGAUGGUGUGAGGACGUGGCCCAGACGUUCGCCUGUGAAAGUGGCCAUUCAUUAUGCAGUUCCCCACGAGCAGCACAAGUAUAAUUGGCACAUUGGGCUGCAUAUUGCACGGUCCUUUAAAUAUCUCUUCUGAUGUGUUAAAAUUAGCCUUUUCCUAAACCGCUAAAAGAGAAAGGAAUGUCCCUUUUAAGCAAAUGUGCAGAGAAAGCGCCCAUCUGUCUGGAGCAGUUGAAAGUGGUCCUAUCUAAAGUCGAGGGCGUACACCAGGUGACCUUUCAAGGUGGCACCCAGACUGAAGAUGUUACACUCUCCCCUUUUGAUUAAGAAGAAAGGUCUUUCUUGAGACUUCAGAGUGAUUGUAUCACAAUGAGGAUUGGCGAGAAGAGGGAUGGGUCUAGGUUUUGAGUUGGGGGCCAGGAACGGGAGGGACGAGUAAAUGGUUUACUGCACAGAAAACGAUGCUGUUUGAUUUAAGCCCCUCCUCACGCCCACCCCCAGACCAGAGGCAUGGGAGGGCACGCAGCCGCCCUGGGUCCCUCGGUGCAAGGGAAGGAGCAGUGAUUUGAAUCCACAUCCGUAUGACUCUGAGGGCCACGCUGGUGAAAUUGUGCUGCUACCGAGGUCCAGGGAAAACUGAUUCUGGUGUUUCUUCCCUAGUUAAACACAAUUCCCCCAAUGGCCUAGAAACCACAUGUGAGGCUAUUAAAGCAAAUUCCAGGGAAGCCCUUUGGGAAUGCUUCUGGCCUUGAACCUGGUGUUAUUGGCCGUGGAGGUGUCCUCAGCUUCCCCUGCAGAUACCAGGUCUGACCUGACAGCCUGACUGCAGUGAGCUCUGACCUAGAAGCUGCAGGCGGCCGUGGCCUCCAGGGCAGGGUGGGCAGGGUGUGUAGAGGCAGGGGUGAGGCUGCUGUCCUUGGGAUCCAUGUCUGGAGGGAGAUAUUGCAACAGAUUGCAAAGCACACUUUUUUUUUUUGCUUCAUUGAUAUUUCAAAGGUAGGUGCUACAUUUACAUCAGAAAACAGAGACAUGGGAGUUCCUCCUGUAGCUCAGCAGAAACAAAUCUGACUAGCAUCCAUGAGGACGCAGGUUCAAUCCCUGGCCUUGCUUAGUGGGUUAAGGAUCUGGCAUUGCCG
rnacentral:lncRNA from 1 species